rnacentral:rRNA from 1 species
UGCCAGCAGCCGCGGUAAUACGAAGGGUGCUAGCGUUGUUCGGAAUUACUGGGCGUAAAGAGUGCGUAGGCGGCCCAUCAAGUUAGACGUGAAAGCCCCGGGCUCAACCUGGGAAUUGCGUUUAAUACUGGUGAGCUAGAGUACGAGAGAGGAAAGUGGAAUUCCUAGUGUAGAGGUGAAAUUCGUAGAUAUUAGGAAGAACACCAGUGGCGAAGGCGACUUUCUGGCUCGUAACUGACGCUGAGGCACGAAAGCGUGGGAAGCAAACAGGAUUAGAUA